rnacentral:miRNA from 1 species
GCUGACACAUCCCAGUCAAUCUCCAGCAGACCCUCCCUCCCAGACCCUUCUACUUCCUGGACAGCAUCCAUGUUGAAGGCAGCUUCAACAUGGAUGCUGUCCAGGAGGUGGGAGGGUCUGGGAGGGAGGGUCUGCUGGAGAUUGGCCGGGAUGUGUCAG